CAUGUCUUAGCUCAUAAAUGUAAUCCAGCAUCAAAGGUACCCAGGCCCGGUGAUGCAAAACUGUUUACUCUUCAUUUUGAUGUAUACAAAAAGAUGCCCUUUAUUUCCCUGGACUCCAGUGAAAGAUGCAGAAUAGAACCAGAGAAGCCAGCCAUGGGUUGGCUUGAAAAGGCUGAGCUGGGAGAGCAGAGGCGGCUCGACUGACAAAACCCAAAUGUGGACACGCAUGGGUCACUGGCUAGGGGUGUUGAUUGUGGAGAGCCAUCCAGUCACGAAAUCCAUCUCGACAGUGUGUGCUGAUCAAUCAUGACCUUGUAGCGGCAACAUUUAUCAGCCUGGAAGCCAUGAACUUUGGUUUGCUCAUUUUACUUGAACCUGACGCUACCCUUGGGGACCAAUGCCACACAUUCACUGUAGGAUUGAUGCAGAGGACACCCCAAAAGGGAAAUAGGAGACUGAGUUUCCUUUGUUAAAGGGGAUUAUAGCCACUACGCCUGUUUAACUCUUUCCUCCCCUGGCCCUGGAACCCAUCCAGCUGGGGUGGGUGUGGGUAUGGGGGCUGCAGUUGGCCCUAAGCUAAACCUAACACUUUGAUAACUUACAUACUCAGCAAAGUAAUGGCAGUUCCAGCUAGAACAGCCUGGAACGUCUCUCCAUGCUGGGAUUGGAGGGAAAAGUUCAUUUUGGCUAAUUUCAACUUUUCCACCAUUAAAUCUGCACCUGCAAUGUCAGGGGUCACCAAAUAAUAAAAAGUGGCAUCUUUGAAACUGCUCAGUCACGUGAAAAGGGCUGUAAUUGAGUAGAUUCAUUCUCUGAAGCCCCAUCAGAGACACACAGCUCAGGGCUGGGGGAGGGGGAGAGGUUCAGGACAGGGAGGCAGGGCCAGGAGCAAGCCAGGCUCUGGGAGGGACCCGGGAGCAAUGGCAGCUUCUGAUGUGGUCCCUUGCUUUUGAAAUCUGAGACUAAAAAUAAAUAAAGAUCCCACACAUUCACUCCAUACACACCCACAUACCCACGCUGGCCUCUAGCCUUUGUGAGCAGUUUGACCUGAUAAAUGCGCUUGGCUGGCAUCAAAUAGUUCUGCUUUGACCGAUCCCAUUUAAAUAUGUGAAUUAGUCAUGAAGCAGGACACAGCUUGGUGAGCUUGCUAAAUUGUUGGACUCUAUUGAAGGAGAAGGGAGAAAAAAAGAGAAAGCCAUUCAGCGUUCUCAAUUAGAUGGAGAGCCCCACAGGCAACAUGCCAGCCUGUCCUCCACUCUGCCUUCAAAGCAUGCUCUGCGGCUGGCGACUUCCUGCCACUUGGACUGCUACCACCAGGAACCAAUUUCCCAUCUAUCUUCAGCUCCAAGGCUCCUACCCUCACCCUGCCUCCCUCCUGUCACACCAGCCAGAAGGAUCCUUGCAAACCCCACCUCAGAUCAUGUCAAUUACUAAAAAUAAAUUCAGGGGCUCUCCACUGCACUCUGUAAUUUGACUCAAAAUUAUUAGCUUGGCCCUCCAGGGUUCACCUAAUCCGCCCUCUGCCUAAUUCUCCAACCUUCUUUGGGGUUUCUGCUCUCCCCAUUCCUGAUGAUCCAGCCACAUGCCUCUCCUGGAAUUUAUGCCACCUUCCCAUCUCAGAGUCAUGGUUCAGCGUUUUUCACUGGUUUAUUCUUAUUUAUCCUGCAGGCUCAGCUUUAAUGUUCCUCCUGUGAGCUCACAACCUAUAUUAUUCUUUCUCAUUGCAACAUGUUCUUUGCAUUUACAUGCAACCAUUUGUGUAUCUAUUGUGUAUGAUCCCUCGGGGGCUGAUACAUUUUGGGACAGGAAGGAAAGCAUCCUUUUGUAUGAGAUGUAUCCC
rnacentral:lncRNA from 10 species